rnacentral:rRNA from 1 species
GAUGAACGCUGGCGGCAUGCCUAACACAUGCAAGUCGAUCGGUAAGGCUCUUCGGGGUACACGAGAGGCGGACGGCUGAGUAACUCGUAGGAACACACCCUGCCGUGCGGGAUAAGAUACCGAAAGGUGUUCUAAUACCGCAUACGGUCUUCGGAUUAAAGCAUUUAUGCGCUGAAGGAGUGGCCUGCGUCAUAUUAGAUAGUGGGUCUGGUAAUGGCUCACUAAGUCGAUGAUGUGUAGCUGGUCUGAGAGGAUGAACAGCCAGACUGGAACUGAGACACGGUCCAGACUCCUACGGGAGGCAGCAGUGAGGAAUAUAUCACAAUGAGCGAGAGCUUGAUGGAGCAAUGCCGCGUGCAGGAUGAAGGCCCUCGGGUUGUAAACUGCUUUCAUAAGAGAAGAUUAUGACGGUAACUUAUGAAUAAGGGACGGCUAACUACGUG